UUAGUCUUGCCGGUGGAUCACUCGGCUCGUAGGUCGAUGAAGAUCGCAGCCAAAUGCGAUAGUUAGUGUGAACUGCAGAUAUACUGAACACUAAAGUGUCGAAUGCACAUUGCGCCUUGGGACUUCCAUCCCUCGGCACGCCUGGUUCAGGGUCGUA
rnacentral:rRNA from 1 species